GAGACUUUCAAAGAGAUGAAAGUAUUUCAAGAGGGAGGGAUGGGCCAACUGAACAAAUUCUUGCUGAUAGGUCAAGUCAACUCAGAAAAGAAAAGCAACCCUUGAGUUUGGGAUCAUGGUGCCACUGGCUGUUGGCAGGUCAGAGCAGUUUCCAUGGGGGCAUGAAGAGAGCAACCCAUUGGAGGACAUGUAUGAAGGGAAGCAUGCCGUGCAGCUUCAACAAACCCCAGAGGAAUUGGUGACCAGGUCUGGAUCAAGAUCAAGAAAUCCAGGAUGUAAGAAAAUCUCCCAGGAGAAGAAGACCUUAUAAUUUAUCAGAAAGGAGGCAGGUCAGCCCUCCUGAGGGGCUGCGAUGCUGCUGGAGAUCGCCUCAUUGGGUACAUCCAGGGGUGCACCUGCUGCAGGGCUGUGGCCUGAAGACAUGGGUGAUUCAUUUGUAAUAACAAAUUAUAAUGGGGAUGCUUUUACUUCUUGCAUCCUGGGGCUUGAUUUGAAUUUGUUUAAAUAAACUCUGAAAUUCA